rnacentral:rRNA from 1 species
UACAGAGGUCCCAAGCGUUGUUCGGAAUUACUGGGCGUAAAGAGUGCGUAGGCGGUUUGGCAAGUCGGAAGUGAAAUCCCGGGGCUCAACCUCGGAAUUGCUUUCAAAACUGCCGAUCUAGAGUAUGGUAGGGGAUAGUGGAAUUCCUAGUGUAGGGGUGAAAUCCGUAGAUAUUAGGAGGAACACCAGAGGCGAAGGCGACUAUCUGGGCCGUUACUGACGCUAAGGUGCGAAAGCGUGGGGAGCAAACAGG